rnacentral:rRNA from 1 species
UACGUAGGGGGCAAGCGUUAUCCGGAUUUACUGGGUGUAAAGGGAGCGUAGACGGAAAUUUAAGUCUGAAGUGAAAUGCCGGGGCUCAACCCCGGAGCUGCUUUGGAAACUGGGUUUCUGGAGUACGGGAGAGGUAAGCGGAAUUCCUGGUGUAGCGGUGAAAUGCGUAGAUAUCAGGAGGAACACCGGAGGCGAAGGCGGCUUACUGGACCGUAACUGACGUUGAGGCUCGAAGGCGUGGGGAGCAAAC